GACGAACGCUGGCGGCGUGCCUAAUACAUGCAAGUUGAGCGCUGAAGGUUGGUACUUGUACCAACUGGAUGAGCAGCGAACGGGUGAGUAACGCGUGGGGAAUCUGCCUUUGAGCGGGGGACAACAUUUGGAAACGAAUGCUAAUACCGCACAAAAACUUUAAACACAAGUUUUAAGUUUGAAAGAUGCAAUUGCAUCACUCAAAGAUGAUCCCGCGUUGUAUUAGCUAGUUGGUGAGGUAAAGGCUCACCAAGGCGAUGAUACAUAGCCGACCUGAGAGGGUGAGCGGCCACAAUGGGACUGAGACACGGCCCAAACUCCUACGGGAGGCAGCAGUAGGAAAUCUUCGGCAAUGGACGAAAGUCUGACCGAGCAACGCCGCGUGAGUGAAGAAGGUUUUCGGAUCGUAAAACUCUGUUGGUAGAGAAGAACGUUGGUGAGAGUGGAAAGCUCAUCAAGUGACGGUAACUACCCAGAAAGGGACGGCUAACUACGUG
rnacentral:rRNA from 1 species